CGGAAGAGGGACAAAAACAACCACUCUCCACCAACAGGCAAAACCAUUGCAUCAAUGAUCGACCCGCGUGUGAUUACGAUACUGCACGCGAUCGUGGUCCGAGCAAAGGAACCAGGCAUACGCUCUACUUUGCAGUGCAAAGACUAAUGACACUGGGACAGCCACUACCACUGGCUCUCUUCGCCAACCGAACAGCUGUCCAGGAAUCCACGUGGUGUACGCUGGCAGCUUUAAUGUUCAGGAGGGAGUAGCGCACCCCAGUGGAUCUACUGUUUGGCUGAAGUGAGCCUACGAUGUGCGGAACAAGGUGCGGGAUUGAGAAGGGACUGAGCCCUAAACUGACCAGCCAGUGGGAGGGGCCCUGUGAGGCUAUAGGACAGUUUCCAAGGUUUGGGCAGUGGAUAAUGGAUUACCAAUUUAACCCUGGGGAUAUGUACUGUAUAUAGGGCAUAGAAGUGUACCACCUGGUUAGUUGGGUUGGAGAGUGAUGAGAGAACUAACUAACAGCUGAAAGGCACUGCACCUGAUACACGAUCCAACAUUGAGAAAGAUGUAUUCUAAAGUCUUAAGUUUGGACGGAUUUAUGUUGUGUCUGAAGUUCUGUCUCGACCUAACUAAGUAAUGCCUUUUAUAAAUGUCAGGAUCUGGUUCCAUAUGAUUGGAAACAGGUAUUGAUUACCUGGCUUUGAACUUGCCUGAGGAUCCUAAAUGAACCAGCUUCCUCUUUCAAAUCAGAGUACUUUAGAUUACAGCCAUGUAAUAACUAGGUAGCCGAUUAUUACACAGUAACUACAGUGUAAUUACCUGGUAAAGGGCUGGUGUAGUUACAUCUGGUACCAGCUUUUCAUGAAAUUACACUCAAUGGUGUCAUGGAAGGGGGAGGGCAUAGGCAUACAGGCAUGCUUUUGCAAUACAGUGCCACUGAAGGCAUAGAGCGGUCAACACGUUUUGCACGUCACAGUACAUUAUUACCACCGGUUUCUUCUCAUUAACCUGUUCUCACAUGAAAAAGUGAGCUGUGAAAGAGGGUGUGAUUGCAGUUCCAGCUUUGACUUUUAUCACAGUGCCUGAAAAAGGUGAGAAUCUAAAACAGCACCCUCAGAAUAACCAGUGCUUCCAUUUGUAACAGAUGUAUGAAACUAACUCAACAAUGCAUUGUAUUUAUUAAAGAAAAAAAAACAGAUUGAGAUGACUAUGACUAAAAUAAUACGGAAAUUCUUUAUCCACUCAAUGUUUCUGCAGAGGGAGAACAUGUAAUAACUUACUGUUGAAUUAUGUUUCCAGGAAUAAUUAAAUUAAAUGUUAUACUUGUUAGACAGUGAA